rnacentral:rRNA from 1 species
UACGAAGGGAGCUAGCGUUGUUCGGAAUCACUGGGCGUAAAGCGCACGUAGGCGGAUGUGUCAGUCAGGGGUGAAAUCCCGGAGCUCAACUUCGGAACUGCCUUUGAUACAGCACGUCUUGAGUCCGAUAGAGGUGGGUGGAAUUCCUAGUGUAGAGGUGAAAUUCGUAGAUAUUCGCAAGAACACCAGUGGCGAAGGCGGCUCACUGGCCCGGAACUGACGCUGAGGUGCGAAAGCGUGGGGAGCAAACAGG